rnacentral:rRNA from 1 species
CAUGUAGGCGGCAUGACAAGUCUGGUGUGAAAUAUCUCGGCUCAACCGAGAAAACGCACUGGAAACUGUCAAGCUUGAGUAUCGGAGGGGAAGCUAGAAUUCCUGGUGUAGGGGUGAAAUCUGUAGAUAUCAGGAAGAAUACCGGUGGCGAAGGCGAGCUUCUGGCCAGGUACUGACGCUGAGAUGCGAAAGCGUGGGGAGCGAACAGGAUUAGAUACCCUGGUAGUCC